rnacentral:tRNA from 1 species
UCCCUGGUGGCUCAGAUGGCAAAGCAUCUGCCUGCAGUGCGGGAGACCCAGGUUCAAUCCCUGGAUUGGGAA